rnacentral:rRNA from 1 species
GAUGAACGCUGGCGGCGUGCCUAAUACAUGCAAGUCGAGCGAAUGGAUUGAGAGCUUGCUCUCAAGAAGUUAGCGGCGGACGGGUGAGUAACACGUGGGUAACCUGCCCAUAAGACUGGGAUAACUCCGGGAAACCGGGGCUAAUACCGGAUAACAUUUUGAACYGCAUGGUUCGAAAUUGAAAGGCGGCUUCGGCUGUCACUUAUGGAUGGACCCGCGUCGCAUUAGCUAGUUGGUGAGGUAACGGCUCACCAAGGCAACGAUGCGUAGCCGACCUGAGAGGGUGAUCGGCCACACUGGGACUGAGACACGGCCCAGACUCCUACGGGAGGCAGCAGUAGGGAAUCUUCCGCAAUGGACGAAAGUCUGACGGAGCAACGCCGCGUGAGUGAUGAAGGCUUUCGGGUCGUAAAACUCUGUUGUUAGGGAAGAACAAGUGCUAGUUGAAUAAGCUGGCACCUUGACG